rnacentral:rRNA from 1 species
UACGGAGGGUGCAAGCGUUAUCCGGAUUCACUGGGUUUAAAGGGUGCGUAGGAGGGCAGGUAAGUCAGUGGUGAAAUCUCCAAGCUUAACUUGGAACUGCCGUUGAUACUAUCUGUCUUGAAUAUUGUGGAGGUGAGCGGAAUAUGUCAUGUAGCGGUGAAAUGCUUAGAUAUGACAUAGAACACCAAUUGCGAAGGCAGCUCGCUACACGAAUAUUGACUCUGAGGCACGAAAGCGUGGGGAUCAAACAGG